GGAGAGGUGGCUGAGCGGCCGAAGGCUCUGGUCUUGAAAACCAGCGUAGACGCAAGUCUACCGUGGGUUCGAAUCCCACCCUCUCCGCCA
rnacentral:tRNA from 1 species